UUCCGGCGCUGCCCCUCGGGAUGGCCGCCAGAGGGCAGACGUGGGGCAUCCGUGGGGUCACAAGGCCUCAGCGGACUUGGAAAAAGGAGCUGAAAACUCUCUUCAGGGCAGAUGCCAAGAUCACACCAAUGGGUGGAACUGCAGGAUACAAACGGUUGUGGAUGCCAUCCUGUGCUGCCCAGAUCCCCCUUCGGGACUGAAGGAUUUAUUCCUGCUCCUCCACCCCACCCCUGCUUCUAGCUGAGCUCCCUGCCCAAGAUUACACCUUCCCAGGGCAGCUAGCAUUCAGUAACUGGUCACUGUGGGGUAAAAAUAUGGCUCCCUCAGUCCAGCUCGAGCAACCCUGGAGGGCAAUCCCAGCUCCAGAGCGCCUGUGGGGUCUACUGAGGUCCUUCUGUGGCUGCACUGCUACCUGACUUCUCCCUUUGCCUAAUGCUGCUUCCCCUUCCUCCCCUCAUGGGCAUGGCUUCCAAGAGCACUCCCCAAUAAACUCCUUGCAGCUCAA